CACGGGGGGAGCAAGCGUUGUUCGGAAUCACUGGGCGUAAAGGGCGUGUAGGCGGUCAAGUAAGUGGAAUGUGAAAUCCCCCCGGCUUACCCGGGGACCGGCAUCCCAUACUGCUUGGCUUGAGUACGGGAGAGGAUGUGGGAAUUCCUGGUGUAGCGGUGAAAUGCGUAGAUAUCUGGAGGAACACCAAUUGCGAAGGCAGCUCGCUGGGACGUUACUGACGCUGAGACGCGAAAGCGUGGGGAGCAAACAGGG
rnacentral:rRNA from 1 species